rnacentral:lncRNA from 1 species
GUUUUCAAUUUUUUUUUGUUUAGUUUGCUUGAAGGAAAUCAAAGACUUAAGUGUGGGGGUAUUUGACCUGACGUAAAAUGUAGUAGUAAUUUCGGUCUAUUUCCACACUUAAGGAGCUUGUUUUCUAGUCAUUUUAGUAUUAAUUAUUGCAUUUUUGGUAUUUAGUAGUUAGUAUUAAAAGUUAAUAAAAUAAGUAUUUUUAACACAUUUUGUGAGUGUUGUGACCUAUUAGGCUGACA